rnacentral:rRNA from 1 species
AUUGAACGCUGGCGGCAGGCCUAACACAUGCAAGUCGGGCGGUAACAGGAAGUAGCUUGCUACUUUGCUGACGAGCGGCGGACGGGUGAGUAAUGUCUGGGAAACUGCCUGAUGGAGGGGGAUAACUACUGGAAACGGUAGCUAAUACCGCAUAACGUCGCAAGACCAAAGAGGGGGACCUUCGGGCCUCUUGCCAUCAGAUGUGCCCAGAUGGGAUUAGCUAGUAGGUGGGGUAAAGGCUCACCUAGGCGACGAUCCCUAGCUGGUCUGAGAGGAUGACCAGCCACACUGGAACUGAGACACGGUCCAGACUCCCACGGGAGGCAGCAGUGGGGAAUAUUGCACAAUGGGCGCAAGCCUGAUGCAGCCAUGCCGCGUGUAUGAAGAAGGCCUUAGGGUUGUAAAGUACUUUCAGCGGGGAGGAAGGUGUUGAGGUUAAUAACCUCAGCAAUUGACGUUACCCGCAGAAGAAGCACCGGCUAACUCCGUGCCAGCCGCCGCAGUAA